GCCCAAGUAGCACAAUGGUAGUGCGUUGCUUUCCUAUCCAUCUGUUUAGCGUGAAUGUGAAGGCAAAGGUUGUGGGUUCGAUCCCCAUCUUGGGUU